GAUGAACGCUGGCGGCGUGCUUAACACAUGCAAGUCGAACGGUGAAGGCGGAGCUUGCUCUGCUGGAUCAGUGGCGAACGGGUGAGUAACACGUGAGCAAUCUGCCCCUGACUCUGGGAUAAGCGCUGGAAACGGCGUCUAAUACUGGAUACGAGCUGCGAAGGCAUCUUCAGCAGCUGGAAAGAACUUCGGUCAGGGAUGAGCUCGCUGCCUAUCAGCUUGUUGGUGAGGUAACGGCUCACCAAGGCGUCGACGGGUAGCCGGCCUGAGAGGGUGACCGGCCACACUGGGACUGAGACACGGCCCAGACUCCUACGGGAGGCAGCAGUGGGGAAUAUUGCACAAUGGGCGAAAGCCUGAUGCAGCAACGCCGCGUGAGGGACGACGGCCUUCGGGUUGUAAACCUCUUUUAGCAGGGAAGAAGCGAAAGUGACGGUACCUGCAGAAAAAGCGCCGGCUAACUACGUG
rnacentral:rRNA from 1 species